AUUGAACGCUGGCGGCAUGCCUAACACAUGCAAGUCGAACGCGAAAGCCGCUUCGGUGGUGAGUAGAGUGGCGGACGGGUGAGUAGCGCGUGGGAAUCUGCCCUGUAGUGGGGGACAACCCGGGGAAACCCGGGCUAAUACCGCAUACGUCCUAGGGGAGAAAGGGGGCCUCUGCUUGCAUGCUCCCGCUAUGGGAUGAGCCCGCGUCCGAUUAGCUUGUUGGUGGGGUAAGGGCCUACCAAGGCGACGAUCGGUAGCUGGUCUGAGAGGAUGGCCAGCCACACUGGGACUGAGACACGGCCCAGACUCCUACGGGAGGCAGCAGUGGGGAAUAUUGGACAAUGGGCGCAAGCCUGAUCCAGCAAUGCCGCGUGUGUGAAGAAGGCCUGCGGGUUGUAAAGCACUUUCAGUGGGGAAGAAAAGCCUGG
rnacentral:rRNA from 1 species